AAGGUAAGACGAUCUGCCGCGCCACUUGUGGUGAGGAAAGUCCGGACAGGGCAGGGCACCCUGCUGCGGAAAGCGCAGAUGGGAGCAAUCUUAUUCGGUCCGUAACAGAAAACAACCGCCGGAAAUACCUGUCACCUCGUUUUAUAGGUAGGACCGGCAAGGGUGAAAACGCGGGGUAAGAGCCCACGACGGCCGUCAGCGAUGCCGGCCGGGUACGACGACAGGGCCUGCAAGACCAAAUAUACUGGCAGACGAGGGCGGCCCGCCCGAUGCCAGGGGGUAGGUUGCGAAGAUAAAUGGCAGAUUUAAAAACAGAACCCGGCUUACGGCCUUGCCUUUGGA
rnacentral:RNase_P_RNA from 1 species